GAUGAAGAACGUAGCGAAAUGCGAUAAGUAAUGUGAAUUGCAGAAUUCAGUGAAUCAUCGAAUCUUUGAACGCACAUUGCGCCCGCCAGUAUUCUGGCGGGCAUGCCUGUCUGAGCGUCAUUUCAACCCUCAUGCCCCUAGGGCGUGGUGUUGGGGAUCGGCCAAAGCCCGCGAGGGACGGCCGGCACCUAAAUCUAGUGGCGGACCCGUCGUGGCCUCCUCUGCGAAGUAGUGAUAUUCCGCAUCGGAGAGCGAUGAGCCCCUGCCGUUAAACCCCCAACUUUCCAAGGUUGACCUCAGAUCAGGUAGGAAUACCCGCUGAACUUAAGCAUAUCAAUAAGCGGAGGA
rnacentral:misc_RNA from 1 species